GAUGAACGCUGGCGGCGUGCCUAACACAUGCAAGUCGAACGGAAAGGCUCCUGCUUGCCGGGGCACUCGAUUGGCGAACGGGUGAGUAACACGCGGGUGAUCCCUCCUGCACUUCGGGAUAAGCCUGGGAAACUGGGUCUCUUACCGCAUAUGACGUUGUUAUCGAUGCCAUUCUGGAAUGUUUUUCCGUCUUGGUAUGACGUGUCGGCCUAUCCGCUUGUCGUUGGGGUAAUGGUCUACCAAGGCGUUGGCGGGUCGCCGACCUGAGAGGGUGUCAUGCGACAUUGGGACUGAGGUGCGGCCCAGACUGCUACGGGAGGCAGCGGUGGGAAAUAUUGCAGAAUGAGCGCAAGGCGGAUGCAGCGGCGCCGCGUGGGGGAUAACGGCCUUCGGGUUGUAAACUACUUUCGCAAGGGACGAAGCGCAAGUGACGGUACCUGGAGAAGAAGCACCGGCCAACUACGUG
rnacentral:rRNA from 1 species